rnacentral:lncRNA from 1 species
UGAACCUUUACCCCUCAGGACCCUCCCAUUUGGUUAAAAUUUCAAAAAACAUCGAUAUAUUUUCUUAAAAUGGUCUUUUGUUUUGGUUGGCAGCAAGAUACACUGUGAGGUCCUUUGGGAUCAGACGUAAUGAAAAGAUCGCGUGCUAUGUCACAGUCAGGGGUGAUAAGGCAAUGCAGCUCCUCGAGAGUGGGUUGAAGGUCAAGGAAUAUGAACUGUUGAGAAGAAACUUUAGUGACACUGGCUGUUUUGGCUUUGGUAUCCAGGAGCACAUUGAUCUUGGAAUCAAGUAAGUAAAUAUAUUACAUUUGCUUCUUGUGCUCUUCAGGAAUAUUUUAUUUCCUUUAUUUUGAACAAUAUAGAAAAAUAUGCUAGCACUAGAACUUAACUUGAGCAAAUUGUAUCUAACUAUUUUCAUUCAAGUUAGAAGAUGUUACUGUUGCAACAUGACUAGGGUGUAUUCAUGCAAAUUUAUCUGGGUGUAUUGGUUGGUUUGUAGAUAUGGAUGGAUGAUAUGCUUGAUAAUAUUUGGUAGUUACUCCCAAAACAACUGUUAUUGUGUUGAAAUGAUUGUGUCAUUCUGUACUAUGGAUUUUCAUUAGAUUUCAUAUUAGUUGCCAAUUUUCAGCGACAAACUUUUUCCUUCUGCUGUUAUUAUGUUGAAAUGUUCGAUCCUGCUUUUGGUUAUGGUCUGUUUGUAUAGUCAUUAUGAUAUGCUUGAUAAUAUUUGGUAAUUACUCGCAAAACAACUGUUAUUACAUUGAAAUGAUUGUGUCAUUCUGUACUCGCAAAAUACCUGUUAUUUCUUUAGGUUCUUCAUUUAUUAUUGUUAUCAUCAUUCUGUACUAUAGAUUUUCUUGAACAACGUGACCAUACCGGCAGUGAUAUCCUCUCCUUUUCAUUUGUUUAUUUUUUAAUGUUUCCAGGUAUGACCCUUCUACUGGUAUCUAUGGUAUGGAUUUCUAUGUUGUCUUGGAGCGCCCCGGUUAUCGUGUGGGCCGUCGUCGUAGAUGCAAGUCGCGUGUUGGAAUCCAGCACCGGGUCACAAAGGAGGAUGCAAUGAAGUGGUUCCAGGUGAAAUAUGAAGGUGUUAUUCUCAACAAGUCCUCCAAUACUUAGUUUGAGAGCACAGGAGGACUAUCCUGUCGAAGUUUUAUAUUUUGCAUUUUAUAGACCUGAAUUUUACUUCCUGAGCCUGAAGUUUUGGAGAACUGGUUUUACGUGUUUUGCAGACGAGUUCAUUUUCGCUGAGGUUUAAUUUAGUUGUAUUUUUAUCAGUUCAUAUGGCAACUUCUAAAUGUGAUCAUUCCGGUCUGUUACUGCACGAGUUACUCAACAGCUUUUUGGCCCCAAAAUCGUUGCCUGAUAUUUAU